rnacentral:hammerhead_ribozyme from 1 species
GUACUGCUGAACAGUCCCAACCUGGGACGAAACAGCUGUCCAGUAC